rnacentral:rRNA from 1 species
GGGGACAUUGGUGACAGGUGGUGCAUGGUUGUCGUCAGCUCGUGUCGUGAGAUGUUGGGUUAAGUCCCGCAACGAGCGCAACCCUUGUCUUUAGUUGCCAUCAUUAAGUUGGGCACUCUAGAGAGACUGCCAGGGAUAACCUGGAGGAAGGUGGGGAUGACGUCAAAUCAUCAUGCCCCUUAUGCUUAGGGCUACACACGUGCUACAAUGGGUAGUACAGAGGGUUGCCAAGCCGUAAGGUGGAGCUAAUCCCUUAAAGCUACUCUCAGUUCGGAUUGUAG